AAGGUAAUUCCUGCCCUAUGGUUUAAUCUAAAUGGCUGCAGUAUUUUGACUGUGCAAAGGUAGCAUAGUAAUUAGUUUCUUAAUUGGGAACUUGUAUGAAUGGAUAAAUGAGAUAUAAUUUUUAUUUAAUUAAAAGUUAAAAUUUUAAUUUUAAGUGAAAAUGCUUAAGAUUUUUCUUGGGACGAUAAGACCCUAUAGAACUUUACAUUUGUUUAUAAAAUUUUCUUUAAUUUUUUUGUAAGAUUUUCUGUUCGUAUGUUUUGCUGGGGUGGUAGAUAAAUUUUAACUUUAUUUAUUUUUUUCAUUAAUAAUUGUUUUUAUUGAUCUUAAUGGAUUAUAAGAAUAAGUUACCUUAGGGAUAACAGCGUAAUUUUAGUGGGGAGUUCAUAUCUAUACUGAUUUUGCGACCUCGAUGUUGAAUUAAGAAAAAACUAAGAAGCAGAAUUCUUAGAUUUAAGUCUGUUCGA
rnacentral:rRNA from 1 species